rnacentral:rRNA from 1 species
AUGCACGCUGGCGGCGUGCCUCAUACAUGCAAGUCGAGCGCACGGACGAGAAGCUUGCUUUUCUGAUGUUAGCGGCGGACGGGUGAGUAACACGUGGAUAACCUACCUAUAAGACUGGGAUAACUUCGGGAAACCGGAGCUAAUACCGGAUAAUAUUUUGAACCGCAUGGUUCAAAAGUGAAAGACGGUCUUGCUGUCACUUAUAGAUGGAUCCGCGCUGCAUUAGCUAGUUGGUAAGGUAACGGCUUACCAAGGCAACGAUGCAUAGCCGACCUGAGAGGGUGAUCGGCCACACUGGAACUGAGACACGGUCCAGACUCCUACGGGAGGCAGCAGUAGGGAAUCUUCCGCAAUGGGCGAAAGCCUGACGGGGCAACGCCGCGUGAGUGAUGAAGGUCUUCGGAUCGUAAAACUCUGUUAUUAGGGAAGAACAUAUGUGUAAGUAACUGUGCACAUCUUGACGGUACCUAAUCAGAAAGCCACGGCUAACUACGUG